ensembl:snRNA U6 U6 spliceosomal RNA
UGCUUGGCAGCAUGUUACUAAAACUGGAACAAUACAGAGAAGAUUAACAUGGACCCUACACAAGGAUAACAUGCAAAUUUUCCCCAUUUUUUU